rnacentral:rRNA from 1 species
UACGUAGGGUGCAAGCGUUAAUCGGAAUUACUGGGCGUAAAGCGUGCGCAGGCGGUUAUGCAAGACAGAUGUGAAAUCCCCGGGCUUAACCUGGGAACUGCAUUUGUGACUGCAUAGCUGGAGUACGGUAGAGGGGGAUGGAAUUCCGCGUGUAGGCAGUGAAAUGCGUAGAUAUGCGGAGGAACACCGAUGGCGAAGGCAGUCCCCGUG